rnacentral:rRNA from 1 species
AUUGAACGCUGGCGGCAUGCCUUACACAUGCAAGUCGAACGGCAGCACGGGUGCUUGCACCUGGUGGCGAGUGGCGAACGGGUGGGUAAUACAUCGGAACGUACCUUAUCGUGGGGGAUAACGCAGCGAAAGCUGUGCUAAUACCGCAUACGCCCUGAGGGGGAAAGCGGGGGAUCGAAAGACCUCGCGCGAUUAGAGCGGCCGAUGCCUGAUUAGCUUGUUGGUGGGGUAAAAGCCCACCAAGGCGACGAUCAGUAGCUGGUCUGAGAGGACGAUCAGCCACACUGGGACUGAGACACGGCCCAGACUCCUACGGGAGGCAGCAGUGGGGAAUUUUGAACAAUGGGGGCAACCCUGAUCCAGCAAUGCCGCGUGAGUGAAGAAGGCCUUCGGGUUGUAAAGCUCUUUUGUCAGGGAAGAAACACCGGCUCUAACACAGUCCGGGAAUGACGGUACCUGAAGAAUAAGCACCGGCUAACUACGUGCCAGCCGCCGCGGUAA